rnacentral:rRNA from 1 species
AAGCACUUAUGACCAGACUUGGCCCCGGUGAAUCAUCCAGCGGUUCCCGCUGGUGCACUUUGCCGGGGUUCAGGCCAGCAUCAGUUCGCUCCGGGGGAUAAAGGCUUUGGGAAUGUGGCUCCCUCGGGAGUGUUAUAGCCCAUUGCGUAAUACCCUGUGGCGGGCUGAGGUUCGCGCUUUAUGCAAGGAUGCUGGCAUAAUGGUCAUCAG